GUUUGUUUAUGUAAUUUAUACGUGUUUCUCGUUUCUCGUUUUUUAUAUAAGUUAGACCGUUGGUUUUCCCGUUUGAAUGGUUUUACACUAGUAAUUUUGGGGCCCUUUAUAGCUUGUUGUUCUGUGUGAGUCAAGGCUCCGUGUUGAAGGCCGUACAUUGACCUAUAAUGGUUUACUUUUAUAAAUUGUUAUUUGGAUGGAGAGUUGUCUCAUUGGCACUCACACCACAUCUUCCUAUAUCUAUCUAUGAUCUUGAAUUUAUUUCAACAGAUACAAUGCAGUUUAGAUUGAUGACAAUAACUUAACUUUAUGAAAAUGCAUCUUUAUCAAGCCAUGAUAACUGAAGCACUAAUAUACCGAUGUUACCAUUGAGACUGGCAAUCCGCAGUGAUCUUCGUAAAACAACUUGUUAAAUUAUUUUAACACCCGGCGAC
rnacentral:lncRNA from 1 species